GUGCCAGCAGCCGCGGUAAGACGAGCCUCACAAACGUUAUUCGGAAUUACUGGGCUUAAAGGGUGCGUAGGCGGUGCGGAAAGUUGGGUGUGAAAUCCCUCGGCUCAACCGAGGAACUGCGCUCAAAACUGCCGUACUCGAGGAAGAUAGAGGUGAGCGGAACUUACGGUGGAGCGGUGAAAUGCGUUGAUAUCGUAAGGAACACCCGUGGCGAAAGCGGCUCACUGGGUCUUAUCUGACGCUGAUGCACGAAAGCUAGGGGAGCAAACGGGAUUAGAAACCCUGGUAGUCC
rnacentral:rRNA from 1 species